UACGGAGGGUGCAAGCGUUGCUCGGAAUUAUUGGGCGUAAAGGGCAGGUAGGUGGUCUCGUUUGUCUAGGGUGAAAGCCUUGAGCUUAACUCAAGAAGUGCCCUAGAAACGGCGAGACUAGAGUUCUGGAGAGGGUCGUGGAAUUCCCGGUGUAGCGGUGAAAUGCGUAGAGAUCGGGAGGAACACCAGAGGCGAAAGCGGCGCCCUGGACAGAUACUGACACUCAACUGCGAAAGCGUGGGGAGCAAACAGG
rnacentral:rRNA from 1 species